UCUGGGAGUCACAUCUCUGAAGGAAACAGAUCCUCCUUUCUCUAGCAGCCACCAAUAGCCAAUAGUUCUUCUGCUCGGGGUGGAACUUGUGUCCCUCCCAGAUCCAUAUCAGAGUUUAGGCUGACUUGAUGUUGUACAGGUCUUAUGAAUAGAGUCACAACUGUGACUUCAUGCAUUGGGUUGCCCUGUCAUGUAGAGAAAACAUUACUUCACAGUAUCCCCUGUACUACCUAUGGCUCUUAAAUUUUUUCUGGUCUUUCUGUGAUGGUCCCCAAGUCUUUGGGGGGGGGGGUAUGUGUAUAUCAGUUACCUUUCUGUUGCUAUGAUAAAAUUCUAUCACCAAAAGCAACUUAUAGAAGAGUUAACUUGGCUUGUAGUUCUAGAGGGCUUUAUAGUCCAUAGUUGUCGUGACAGUGUAGCAGCAUCAGGUAUGGCGGCAAGAUCAGGAAGCUGAAGCCUUCUAUCUUAACCACACACUGGGAGCAGAGAACAGGAAUUGGUGACGGGAGGGCCUAUCAACCCUCAAGCCUUCCCCUGCCUACCUAUUCUUCCAGAAAGCUUCCACAUACUAAAUGUUCUAAAACUUCCCCAAACAGUGCCAACAAUUUAGGGACCAACUAUUUAAAUGUAUGAGCCUAUGGGGGGGGGGGUGCAUUCCUCAUUCAAACUAAAAUAGGGUAUGAUAUCGAUGACUCACUUGUGGCUGAGCACUCCAUAUUGUCUUAUUUUCCUCACUUGGGCGAGCUGUGAGUCUCUGCUUUUAAUCACCAUUUGCUGCAUAAAGAGGUCUUUCCUGGUGAGGGUUGAGAGCACACUAACCCAUGGAUACGAAGAUAUAUAUAUAUUUAGAGAGCAGUUCAGUACUAUGUCACGUAGCAGAUAAUAGCAGUUGGGUCAUCGCUAGAGCGAAGCGCCUUUCCAUUUUUCAGUCACUUGACACUGAGUGUUGUGGAUUUGGGACAAAAGUCAGGUAUGUUUUAAACUUUAAUGUGUUAUCGAGAGAGGUAAUGGCAAAGCAAGGAAGCAAGCGGUGCAGAGCGCAGCUCACCAGACACACUGCGCACGCGCACCUCCGCCCUCCGCAGCACCCAGGGCCUGCUAAUUCACGUUCGAGGUUACCUUGGCAGCAGGCAUUUGAGACAGGGUUUGAACUCAUUCUGACUCUGACGCCUGCGCUAUUACUUGCUCCAUAUUACCUACUUUUGUACAUGUGGCUUUUUAGUGUACGACUUACCACGAGGUGCACGUGUAAGAGGCCGAGCCGCUUAAAGUUAUGCAAGAGAAUCUUACGUGCCUUAGAAGAUAAAGUCCCACGUUCUAAUAGGAACGGUCUAAAUCCCCUAAGGACAUAGAAGCCAAAGUACAACAACACGGUUUAAAGAUGCGCAUUGACCAGAGAUUCUUCUCCUUUUAAGACUCUGAGUAACUGAGUAAUCUCGAAAGUAAAAUGUAGAUGUUCCAAGUGGGGCUUUUUUUUUUUUGGAACACUCUCAAAAUUUGAUCUAUUAAAAGUUACUAGAUUUUCAACCCAAUUAAAUACAGCAUCUACCCCCGCUCCAGCUUGCCUCUCAAUCCUAUUAAACCAAAUGUUAAUUGAGAAUGGAAAAGUGGCAAUUUUAUCUGCCAAGCGAAAAUAAUUUAGUGCAAGUUAAUAAGAGUUGGCUUAUUACUGACUGGCCGUUUUGAUUCUAGCUUGCUACAAUGGUAGAAAUUACUUCUGAAAGAUAAACUCAUUUUCUAGUCAUUUACAAGCAUAGGGCUUUGUGGUUUCUGUUUGGGGAUGGGGAAUGGGACUGAGGGGCAGUAGAGGAUAACAGUAAACACACUUUACACCCCACACCUACACGUGGCACGGAGGAAAUUGGAGGCAGACAAAACAUCUUAAUAUCAGGCAUGUGUUUUGCCUUAAGGUGCUGGCUUCAAGAAUUAUCAAAAUACCAAUUUUUAUGUGUGGAUUUAAAAGAACUCCACCAAAAGGACACAGUUACAAAAUAGUGUUUUACUAGUUGACUCCAGUUGCCCAUUAAACGAUACAUUCCCCUUUCAAACCGCAUCACACAGGUGAGAAGAAAAACUAAUUACCAUCAAGAAAGGAACUAUUCGAGUACUGUUCUACUACGCUGUAAUGUUUCUAAUUAGAGCCCUUUAUACAAAAUAAUAAUAGUAAAUAAUAAGGCCAAUGUUAAGUGUUUCAUAUUUUUUUUGCAUCUUAUAAUACAUAGGAGUCAAGUGUUUCCCUUAUUUUUCCAGAAUCAUUCUUGAUAAACAUAAGAAAUUAAAGGUUCUUCAAGCAAAAUCUUCCAGUUAAAAUGAUAACAUACACAUGAGAACUAGAAAAGGUCACAAAGGGUUGGUUAGAGAAAUCAGUCUUUCAAGCUUGGAGGUGGGUCUUUGUCAGUCGCAGCUGUGGAUAAGACUGAAACAGCCAGCAGCUCUGAUCCUGGGUUUCUGACUCAACAAGAUGGCCUUUGAUGGGGUUAUCAGAAAAACUUUUUUCUUUUUUAACAUAUUCACUUUACAUCCUGCUCAAUAGCCCC
ensembl:lncRNA